rnacentral:rRNA from 1 species
CCUACGGGCGGCAGCAGUGGGGAAUAUUGCGCAAUGGGCGAAAGCCUGACGCAGCGACGCCGCGUGAGGGAUGAAGGUCUUCGGAUUGUAAACCUCUGUCAGCAGGGAAGUACGGUCACUGUGCUAAUCAUCAGUGAAUUGACGGUACCUGCAAAGGACGCACCGGCUAACUCCGUGCCAGCAGCCGCGGUAAUACGGAGGGUGCGAGCGUUAAUCGGAAUUACUGGGCGUAAAGCGCUCGUAGGCGGUAUGUCAAGUCAAGGGGGAAAUCCCCGCGCUCAACGUGGGAACUGCCUUUGAAACUGGCAAACUGGAGUGUGUGAGAGGAUAGUGGAAUUCGAGGUGUAGGAGUGAAAUCCGUAGAUAUCUGGAGGAACAUCAGUGGCGAAGGCGACUAUCUGGCACAUAACUGACGCUGAGGAGCGAAAGCGUGGGUAGCAAACAGGAUUAGAUACCCUUGUAGUC